AUUAGAUAAAAAACCAAUGCCCUUCGGGGCUUUCUGGUGAUUCAUAAUAACUAAACGAAUCGCAUGGCCUUGAGCCGGCGAUGGUUCAUUCAAAUUUCUGCCCUAUCAACUUUCGAUUGUAGGAUAGAGGCCUACAAUGGUUUCAACGGGUAACGGAGAAUUAGGGUUCGGUUCCGGAGAGGGAGCCUGAGAAACGGCUACCACAUCCAAGGAAGGCAGCAGGCGCGCAAAUUACCCAAUCCCGACACGGGGAGGUAGUGACAAUAAAUACUGAUACAGGGCUCUUUUGGGUCUUGUAAUUGGAAUGAGUACAAUUUAAAUCCCUUAACGAGGAACAAUUGGAGGGCAAGUCUGGUGCCAGCAGCCGCGGUAAUUCCAGCUCCAAUAGCGUAUAUUAAAGUUGUUGCAGUUAAAAAGCUCGUAGUUGAACCUUGGGUCUGGCUGGCUGGUCCGCCUCACCGCGUGCACUGGUCCGGCCGGACCUUUCCUCUUGGGGAUCCGCAUGCCCUUUACUGGG
rnacentral:rRNA from 1 species